rnacentral:rRNA from 1 species
GACGAACGCUGGCGGCGUGCCUAAUACAUGCAAGUAGAACGCUGAAGGAGGAGCUUGCUCUUCUGGAUGAGUUGCGAACGGGUGAGUAACGCGUAGGUAACCUGCCUGGUAGCGGGGGAUAACUAUUGGAAACGAUAGCUAAUACCGCAUAAGAGUAGAUGUUGCAUGACAUUUACUUAAAAGGUGCAAUUGCAUCACUACCAGAUGGACCUGCGUUGUAUUAGCUAGUUGGUGGGGUAACGGCUUACCAAGGCGACGAUACAUAGCCGACCUGAGAGGGUGAUCGGCCACACUGGAACUGAGACACGGCCCAGACUCCUACGGGAGGCAGCAGUAGGGAAUCUUCGGCAAUGGACGGAAGUCUGACCGAGCAACGCCGCGUGAGUGAAGAAGGGUUUCGGAUCGUAAAGCUCUGUUGUAAGAGAAGAACGAGUGUGAGAGUGGAAAGUUCACACUGUGACGGUAUCUUACCAGAAAGGGACGGCUAACUACGUG